UACGGAGGGUGCAAGCGUUAAUCGGAUUUAUUGGGCGUAAAGGGCGCGUAGGCGGAGAUAUUAGUCAGAUGUGAAAUCCUGGGGCUCAACCUCAGAACUGCAUUUGAAACUGUAUCUCUAGAGGGUAGGAGGAGAAAACGGAAUUCCACAAGUAGCGGUGAAAUGCGUAGAUAUGUGGAAGAACACCGGUGGCGAAGGCGGUUUUCUAUCUUAUUCCUGACGCUGAGGCGCGAAAGCAAGGGGAUCAAACAGG
rnacentral:rRNA from 1 species